rnacentral:precursor_RNA from 7 species
CUUGUCAUCACAACAUCUAAAUGAACAGUGACAUAGAAAAGGCAGUCUGCAUUUAUUCUGGAGCUGCAGUUUGUCUCUUCUUUGUCUCUGUCAGUUGGUUUGCUCCAGUUGUGCCUA